GGACCCCAAUGCGACAUCUAGUGUAUAGAUCUAUGGUGUAACUGUCAGAAGCAGGUGGGGAAAAAACAAAACAAUAAACGUGGAAACAUCCUUCAUAAUUGCAAAUAGGUUUGUGAUUGACGAGUCACGUCUGAUGUAAAGGGAGAUAAUCUAAGUCAUUUCGGUCUGUAGGAUAUAGUUACUAGGUUUAAUAAUAUAAUCUGUGUUUUGUGGGUGAUCUUUAAUGGCGCGCGCUCAUUGAACCACGUGUGUGUCAGACAGGUGGAAGCAGCUCAUUUGCAUAUGGAACAGAGCUCAGCAGAGAAGAAACAGACAAUCGACUUUUCAGCUGCAGGAGAAAUCAUCUGUAAUGAAAAUGUCAGAGGAAUAACAUCUUAUGGACACCAACCCUGAAACGCAAGACUGAAGGAACCUACCGGCCGAGUGCAGAGGAGCAAAAACAAGCUGAAAGCCAGGAGUCAGAGAAACCAGGCCUUUCAUUGCCUCUGCCCAAAGAGGAGCGACUGAUCUGAGACCCUCCACCAGAGAAC